CUGGGAGAACUGAACAUGGAUUCCAAAUUUGGUUGCCAAGAACUGUGAAGAGUGAUAUUUCACCCUAAUUCUAACCUAAAGUGUUAGCCUGCCAUAGUAUCUUGGGUGCUAACAGAAGACAUGAGCCUCCUAUAUAAGAGACAAUGGACUUUAUUCCUCAGUGCAAAAUGAGCAUGUCAGAAUCCCAGCUUGAUACCAACCAAAUGCUGCCACAUCCUAUAGCAUGCUUUUGGAAUGGCCAGAGCAUUGUUCAUGGACUGCAUCUAUCUCCAGUAAUUUCAGAGUCCAUCUGGACAUGGAUGGUGCAGGAACUAUAAGAAAAUUUUGACAGCUACUUCCUAUCUUCCUUUCUCCACAUGAAGUGAAGAAAGCCAGCCAUAAAAAAAAAAAAAAAAUGAAUGAGGUAAAAAUGUCUGCCUCAACUAUAGCAAAAUAAAUGGAAAUGGAGGAAAAUGAAGCCGGUUAAG
rnacentral:lncRNA from 13 species